rnacentral:tRNA from 1 species
GGGUGGGUAGCUCAGUGGUUAGAGCCUAGGGCUUAUGAUCUAAAGGUCUUGGGUUCGAAUCUCGCCAGAGGCA